AAAGAUCCUUCCUAGCUGGAGGAAAAUCUCCUUUCCUGACUGCAGUGGGGGGACUCACCAACUCAACCAACCCAUGGCCAACUCUCUUCCCUGCAGAUGGAGCAUCCAAUGUGCAGACACUCUGCCCUGGGAGCAAAGACACCCCAUGCACAAACACAAGGCAGAGCGAGUGGGAAAGCAGGAUAACUCUAUUUUAUAUGAGAGAAAACAAGAGGCCUGUGGUAACAUUAGCCAAGCAGGUGGUCUAAGCAAAUUAGAGAACCUUGACGAUUCCCGAGUUCAAAGGAAGCCAUUGCUCAUCCCCGUCAAAGCUAUCUGAUAACAUAUUUAGCUGGAGAAAGGAUGAGUAUAUCCACCAGCACACAAUGGCCCAGAUUUCCUAGCUCAUUAAACCCAAAUAUUAGUGAAAA